UACGUAGGGUGCAAGCGUUGUCCGGAAUCAUUGGGCGUAAAGCGCGUGUAGGCGGUCCGGUAAGUCCGCUGUGAAAGUCGAGGGCUCAACCCUCGAAUGCCGGUGGAUACUGUCGGGCUUGAGUACGGGAGAGGCGAGUGGAAUUCCUGGUGUAGCGGUGAAAUGCGCAGAUAUCAGGAGGAACACCGAUUGCGAAGGCAGCUCGCUGGAACGUUACUGACGCUGAGACGCGAAAGCGUGGGGAGCAAACAGG
rnacentral:rRNA from 1 species